GACCAGACUCCUACGGGAGGCAGCAGUAGGGAAUCUUUCACAAUGGGCGAAAGCCUGAUGGAGCAACGCCGCGUGCAGGAUGAAGGCCUUCGGGUUGUAAACUGCUUUUAUAAGCGAGAAAUAUGAUGGUAACUUAUGAAUAAGGAUCGGCUAACUCCGUGCCAGCAGCCGCGGUAAUACGGAGGAUCCAAGCGUUAUCCGGAUUUAUUGGGUUUAAAGGGUGCGUAGGCGGUUUUAUAAGUUAGAGGUGAAAUCUCGGGGCUCAACUCCGAAAUUGCCUCUAAUACUGUAGGACUAGAGAGUAGUUGCGGUAGGCGGAAUGUAUGGUGUAGCGGUGAAAUGCUCAGAGAUCAUACAGAACACCGAUUGCGAAGGCAGCUUACCAAACUAUAUCUGACGUUGAGGCCCGAAAGCGUGGGGAGCAAACAGGAUUAGAUACCCGAGUAU
rnacentral:rRNA from 1 species